rnacentral:rRNA from 1 species
AUACGUAGGUGACAAGCGUUAUCCGGAUUUACUGGGUGUAAAGGGAGCGUAGACGGAAGGCCAAGUCUGAUGUGAAGGCCCGCGGCUCAACUGCGGGACUGCAUUGGAAACUGGUCAUCUGGAGUGCAGGAGGGGUAAGCGGAAUUCCUAGUGUAGCGGUGAAAUGCGUAGAUAUUAGGAGGAACACCGGCGGCGAAGGCGGCUUACUGGACUGUAACUGACGUUGAGGCUCGAAAGCGUGGGGAGCAAACAGGAUUAGAUACCCUGGUAGUCCACGCCGUAAACGAUGAUUACUAGGUGUUGGUUGUCAUAGACAAUCGGUGCCGCAGCAAACGCAAUAAGUAAUCCACCUGGGGAGUACGUUCGCAAGAAUGAAACUCAAAGGAAUUGACGGGG